UACGUAGGGUGCGAGCGUUGUCCGGAAUUAUUGGGCGUAAAGAGCUCGUAGGCGGUCUGUCGCGUCGAUCGUGAAAACUUGGGGCUUAACCCUGAGCUUGCGGUCGAUACGGGCAUGACUGGAGUUCGGCAGGGGAGACUGGAAUUCCUGGUGUAGCGGUGAAAUGCGCAGAUAUCAGGAGGAACACCGGUGGCGAAGGCGGCCGACUGGGCCGACCCUGACGCUGAGGCGCGAAGGCGUGGGGAGCGAACGGG
rnacentral:rRNA from 1 species